UAUUAUUAAAAAUGUAAAUAAAUAAAAAUAGAGUAGUAAUAGUUAUAUUCUUAAAACUUAAUAAAUUUGGCGGUAUUUUAAUCUAAUCAGAGGAACUUGUUUUAUAAUUGAUAAUCCUCAUUAUAUCUUACUUAAUUUUAUUUAAUUUGUAUAUCGUCGUCAUAAGAAUCUCUUAAAAAAGAAAAAAUUUUCUAAAAUAUUAAUUAUUAAUUAUGUCAGAUCAAGGUGCAGUUUAUAGUUAAGAAAAAAUGAGUUACAAUAAAUUUAUUUAAUAACGGUUAUAAAAUUUUAAAGUUUUAUAUAAGGUGGAUUUGAUAGUAAAAUAAAUAAUUAAAUUUAUUUGAUUUUAGUUCUAAAAUAUGCACAUAUCGCCCG
rnacentral:rRNA from 1 species